GGAGGGGGAGGGGAAGGCAGCAAAGCCACGCAAAGCGGCUUCUCCCUCACCCCUCUCU
rnacentral:precursor_RNA from 1 species